GCCCUUCGGGGUACUCGAGCGGCGAACGGGUGAGUAACACGUGAGCAACCUGCCCCAGGCUUUGGGAUAACCCCGGGAAACCGGGGCUAAUACCGAAUAUGACCUCUGACCGCAUGGUUGGUGGUGGAAAGUUUUUCGGCUUGGGAUGGGCUCGCGGCCUAUCAGCUUGUUGGUGGGGUGAUGGCCUACCAAGGCGACGACGGGUAGCCGGCCUGAGAGGGCGACCGGCCACACUGGGACUGAGACACGGCCCAGACUCCUACGGGAGGCAGCAGUGGGGAAUAUUGCACAAUGGGCGGAAGCCUGAUGCAGCGACGCCGCGUGAGGGAUGACGGCCUUCGGGUUGUAAACCUCUUUCAGCAGGGACGAAGCGUAAGUGACGGUACCUGCAGAAGAAGCGCCGGCCAACUACGUGCCAGCAGCCGCGGUAAGACGUAGGGCGCGAGCGUUGUCCGGAUUUAUUGGGCGUAAAGAGCUCGUAGGCGGCUUGUCGCGUCGACCGUGAAAACCUGGGGCUCAACCCCAGGCCUGCGGUCGAUACGGGCAGGCUAGAGUUCGGUAGGGGAGACUGGAAUUCCUGGUGUAGCGGUGAAAUGCGCAGAUAUCAGGAGGAACACCGGUGGCGAAGGCGGGUCUCUGGGCCGAUACUGACGCUGAGGAGCGAAAGCGUGGGGAGCGAACAGGAUUAGAUACCCUGGUAGUCCACGCUGUAAACGUUGGGCGCUAGGUGUGGGGGGCCUCUCCGGUUCCCUGUGCCGCAGCUAACGCAU
rnacentral:rRNA from 1 species